UUUCCGUAGGUGAACCUGCGGAAGGAUCAUUACUGAGUGAGGGCCCUCUGGGUCCAACCUCCCACCCGUGUUUAUUGUACCUUGUUGCUUCGGUGCGCCCGCCUCACGGCCGCCGGGGGGCUUCUGCCCCCGGGUCCGCGCGCACCGGAGACACCAUUGAACUCUGUCUGAAGAUUGCAGUCUGAGCAUAAACUAAAUAAGUUAAAACUUUCAACAACGGAUCUCUUGGUUCCGGCAUCGAUGAAGAACGCAGCGAAAUGCGAUAACUAAUGUGAAUUGCAGAAUUCAGUGAAUCAUCGAGUCUUUGAACGCACAUUGCGCCCCCUGGUAUUCCGGGGGGCAUGCCUGUCCGAGCGUCAUUGCUGCCCUCAAGCACGGCUUGUGUGUUGGGCUCCGUCCCCCCGGGGACGGGCCCGAAAGGCAGCGGCGGCACCGAGUCCGGUCCUCGAGCGUAUGGGGCUUUGUCACCCGCUCUGUAGGCCCGGCCGGCGCCAGCCGACAACCCAUCAUCCUUUUCAGGUUGACCUCGGAUCAGGUAGGGAUACCCG
rnacentral:rRNA from 1 species